rnacentral:lncRNA from 1 species
AUUUAUGUUGUUCUUAGGUACCAAUCAGGUUAUUGAUGCCGCCGGAUAGCUGUCGUUGGCUAUAAUGUGAUUAGGUACCAAUCUUGUUAUUAAAGAUGUUAUGUUAUAUAAUGCGGCUACAUAAUUAUACUCUUAUAUGGUCAGCCAAGUGUUCUUCUGGAUAUACCUUUGUGCAAUGUAUAACUGAAGUAUGAUCAUUUCCUUGCAUAAACUAAGCAUACUAUUAAAAUUUUGUGUGUCAGGCCUUAAGAGUAGAUUGCCUUUUCUGUACUUUUGUGUUGCUUCAUCCAUUAAUUAUUUAUUAAAAUGUUAACACUUCAUUGUUAAUGUAUGGUUGUUUACCUUUUGGUGUCGACUUUCGACUUACUGAUUUGUGCAAUCAAAUAUAGAAAAGGAUCUCGUUUCGGACACGACAGCCUUGCUGAUGGCAUGCUUAAGGAUGACCUGAUGUUACUGAUGACACACAUUGAGUUACCUCGCACCAUCAUUUGGCCUUUCAAGCACUUGAUUUGCAUUUUUUUGAUGUAAUCAAAUAGUGUCCCUGCAUCUUAACAAGCCACCCAUUUAAUGUGUCAUCCUUUCCUUUUCUUUUCCUGGAGUUUUUUCAAUAAACAUCGAUGCACUUAUGGAUAGUACAUUGACGCUGAUGAUUCUAUCUUCUUUAUUUGAGAAUAUGAUAUUGUACAUGUAUUAUAGAUUGGAUUACAAAAUAGUGGUUGUAGUUCUUAUGAUUUGCAGUAGCUUAGGUCUGGUGCUGUGGCUUUAGCACAUAACAUGGAUCGGUUUUAAUAUUCUGUUCAUGCUCAUCUUCGCAUUUUAUAGGCAGGUUGUUUGGGAUAAUUUGUACUUUACUAAAUUACUGCUAAAGUGGUUUUGUUGAGAGUUGAAACUAUACCAAUGUUUUGCUUUCUGCUAAAGUCAAAGAUAUUGUAUCCUUGAAUGUUUUUCAAUUACCAACACAUGCCAAAUUCUGCAUAUUUGUUAAUGAUUUCGAUGCCUUCUGUUAGUUUUGCACUAUGGAAGUCAUUGUUUGCUAUGUAUGAAUAUUGGCUUAUUGGGUUUAGAAAACAUUGUAUAUUUUUUAUAUGCUCUCAGUUGAACACGUUUCGGUAUGUAGUGUACAUGGUAUAGGCAGGUAAGAAAACAACCUUAUUUAAGCUCAGGCCUGACUAGCGAUUAAGUCAUUAAAUUUUAGUGGGUAGGUAAAAGAGCAGCCCUAUUUUCGGUAUGCUUGACUUUCAGUAUUUUUGGUCACAGAUUUGUUGAUCUUGUUUACUGCCUCUAUCAAAAUAUUUGUACAAAUCCAGACUACAAAACGUCUUAUAUAUUGAUAGAGUGAGGACUACAGAUUGUGCUGGUGGCAACCUGGGGAAGACUUAUCGACGUGGAUACAGCCACAUUCCUUGACCGAAAUGAUCCAAACUAUGAUAGUAACAAGGUAAUACUUCAUGGUCUUGACCUACACAUUCAUGUCGUUUUUCAUGCAAUGAUGAACCUUCUAAUCCAAGCAAGGGUCUUCUUUAUGUUUGCAGAUAGUUUGGUGCUCUCAUGGUUAUUUUGUAGAGAUUGUCCUUCUGUUCAUUAUUUGGCAAUCAUCUACUGCAGCUCAGCUACUGUCCAGCUGCUUCCCUUAUGGUGAGUGAUUGAUGGUGCAUGUUUUCCUAUUAGUUUCUCCUGUAUGCCAAUUUCUCAAUUUAGGUUGCUGUUUUGCAUUUCUCUAGGCCUUUCAUUCUCACUGUGAUCCCCUGAGAUGCCUUGUGUAUUUGCGUUGUCCUCUGCUUCUGAUAAUGCAAGACAGAUCAAACCAAUGCAGUAAUCCUCUGAUCCUUCAUUAUAUUAUGAAAAAAACACUAUGAUUUUCCAUGUCAGGGUACUACUAUGUCAAAUUGAUGCUUUGUACUACAUGUUCAGGUGUAUACCCUGACAAUAUUGGGCAUUUGCAUUGUCAUUUGCUUUAUUUGUUCAUAUCGCAUUGUUUUUUUAGUUAUAGCCGGUUUUAUUUGCUAUUCAAACCCAUCCAUUUGUCUUGUUUUCAUUUUUUUCUUACAAAUUUUUUCUGAUGAGAAGAUGUCUUUUAGUUGUGUAUUUGUUCUCUUGAAUUCAUUUGUUUCUUAUGCAAGGGUUCUCUAAAAAAAUAAUUUUGUAGGCAAGACGAAACUUAAAAGGGGAUCUCGGACAAGUGGAAGGAGGGAAGUCGUCGUAAGAUAGAUAAUAAACUUGCCUCCGCUCUGACAAGAGCAUGUUCGUUCAGACCUUUUCUUACUAAAAGAUUUUUAUCUAUAGCAAGUGUUUCCAUUGGAACUAUCAAAUUCAAACUCCUAGAUGUCUAUGUCAGCAUGUAGGACUUUGUCCAGGCGGAGAUAUCCCCUCUGAUCUUUUUAUGAAUCCUUCCACACUUCUUUGUAAAGUGUUGCUGAUUUUAAUAAAAUCUCUCUAUUCAAAAGACAAUAUAAUUCAAGCUACUAGAGGAGCUUGUUCAUUCAGACCUUUCCUUACAUUUUAACUAUGAUAGUGACCUCUUUUAUUUGUCUAUGUAACGAUCAUAUGCAUAAAUAGUUGAAAAUGGUGCCUGAAUGGCGCAUUUUAGCUACAUCUUACCAUGCACCUAAAUGAUUUUCAAAACUUAAAAGAUAUUGAAGAAAUGCAAAUUGUUUCAAAACACUUUGUGUUUGAAUUUGGACCAUGAGCUAUUUGGUUCUAUGUUAUUCUAAUAAGAUAACAAAAUAUGCAUGCCCACAACACUUCAUUUUUCAAAGAUAAAGUAUCCUUCAUUUUUCAUCUUCACGGGUUUGAAUUAGUACCUAAGUGGUUGCUAAAACCUACUUCUAUUACAAGUCAAAUAUUUUUAAAACACUUCAUGUUGACAUGGUAUUUGUGUUUUCUCAAACAUAAAGUUAUUGAAAAAUGCAAAUAUUUUCAACGCGCACAUAGUUUCAAAUGAGGCUCUGCGCAGUUUUAAAUUUGUUACCAUAUGUGUUUGCCCACAACUAAACCAUGUAUUUUCUUUUCAAUGUGAACAUGGAUUUAGCUUGUCUCUGCACCAUUUGGCGCAAGGGAUUUUCAAGCACACAUCGAAUAUUUUCAAGCACAUAAUCAUAUUUUCAAUAUAGCAUGGUUUAACACAUGAGCUUUCUAUUACCAAUAUUAAAUAUGUUCUUGCAAAAUGAAACUAUUUUCAUCGACAACAUGGCUUUAGCGGGCGCAAUGGGUUAACUAGUAUAUACCAGAAGAUGGGCAUCAUAGGUGGUCCAAGGAGGGCACAACCCACCAAGGCGCGCCUGGGCUCCCUGGUGCGCCCAGGUGGGUUGUGCCCACCUGGUGGGCCCCCUCUAGUAGGUAUUUGCUCCAAUAUUUUUCAUAUAUUGCAAAACAAUUCUCCAUAAUUUUUUUGCUUAUUUGGUGAUGUGCAGAAUAAGUAACUCUGACAUAGGUUUUUCAGGUCCAGAAUUCCAGCUGUUG